GGGUGAGUAACACGUGAGUAACCUGCCCUUGACUCUGGGAUAAGCGCUGGAAACGGCGUCUAAUACCGGAUACGACCUGCCCCGGCAUCGGGUGUGGGUGGAAAGUUUUUCGGUCAAGGAUGGACUCGCGGCCUAUCAGCUUGUUGGUGAGGUAAUGGCUUACCAAGGCGACGACGGGUAGCCGGCCUGAGAGGGUGACCGGCCACACUGGGACUGAGACACGGCCCAGACUCCUACGGGAGGCAGCAGUGGGGAAUAUUGCACAAUGGGCGAAAGCCUGAUGCAGCAACGCCGCGUGGGGGAUGACGGCCUUCGGGUUGUAAACCUCUUUUAGUAGGGAAGAAGGGCUUCGGCUUGACGGUACCUGCAGAAAAAAGCACCGGCUAACUACGUGCCAGCAGCCGCGGUAAUACGUAGGGUGCAAGCGUUGUCCGGAAUUAUUGGGCGUAAAGAGCUCGUAGGCGGUUUGUCGCGUCUGCUGUGAAAACCCGAGGCUCAACCUCGGGCCUGCAGUGGGUACGGGCAGACUAGAGUGCGGUAGGGGAGAAUGGAAUUCCUGGUGUAGCGGUGGAAUGCGCAGAUAUCAGGAGGAACACCGAUGGCGAAGGCAGUUCUCUGGGCCGUUACUGACGCUGAGGAGCGAAAGCGUGGGGAGCGAACAGGAUUAGAUACCCUGGUAGUCCACGCCGUAAACGUUGGGAACUAGAUGUGGGGGCCUUUCCACGGUCUCCGUGUCGCAGCUAACGCAUUAAGUUCCCCGCCUGGGGAGUACGGCCGCAAGGCUAAAACUCAAAGGAAUUGACGGGGGCCCGCACAAGCGGCGGAGCAUGCGGAUUAAUUCGAUGCAACGCGAAGAACCUUACCAAGGCUUGACAUAUACCGGAAACUUCCAGAGAUGGUUGCCCCGCAAGGUCGGUAUACAGGUGGUGCAUGGUUGUCGUCAGCUCGUGUCGUGAGAUGUUGGGUUAAGUCCCGCAACGAGCGCAACCCUCGUUCUAUGUUGCCAGCACGUGAUGGUGGGAACUCAUAGGAGACUGCCGGGGUCAACUCGGAGGAAGGUGGGGAUGACGUCAAAUCAUCAUGCCCCUUAUGUCUUGGGCUUCACGCAUGCUACAAUGGCCGGUACAAAGGGCUGCGAUACCGUAAGGUGGAGCGAAUCCCAAAAAGCCGGUCUCAGUUCGGAUUGAGGUCUGCAACUCGACCUCAUGAAGUCGGAGUCGCUAGUAAUCGCAGAUCAGCAACGCUGCGGUGAAUACGUCCCGGGCCUUGU
rnacentral:rRNA from 2 species